rnacentral:lncRNA from 1 species
ACAUCUCGUCGUCUUCAUUCGUCACUGCCGCCACUAGCUUCAUUCCUGGUGGGAGAGGACAAGGCGGUAUUGAGAGGUCAGUUCCGUUCUCUUCUCACUAUUUUUUUCCACCCCUUAUGCUCAACUCCCCCCGCAAACGUCGAAUGUUGUGAUUCACUGUCGAGCAGUCUAAAUCUGAGAGACUGAGACAUAGCACAUAAUAUAGUUAUUGGUGCCGGAUUCUAGGGUAUUGUUUGGUUUUUCCUCAAUAACACAAUGGUGUUGGUCAAAAUCGGAUUAUUCCCUCAAUUUUUCCUACUAGCCUUCACCAUUAUUCAAAUUACAAAACAUCGAAAACCAGGUUUUCUACCAUUUUUAUACUAGGUCUCACGAGACCGUUUUUGUAAUGUCUAUAGUCAUAGUCAGCUACGGAACAGAAGUCAAAGGUAUGAUUUACAUAUGUAAAAUUUAUGUUUAUCGAUGUUAAAUUUAUACUAGCUAUUUGUGCAUUUAGUUAUGCUUACAGAUGUAAAAUUUAUGAAAAAUGACACUAUUAUAUGAUGACACACAUUUUUUUAUAAACAUUGUCAUCGUUUUCUUUGUUUUUGUUGUUAGGAAGUUAAUUUUAUGAGUACAUAUACAAAAAUAUGGUAUAAUGGCAAUUUUAUAUGGUUACAAUCUUUUUUUGUACAUAACAAGAACUUUUCAUUACUUAUAUAGUUUGUUUGAUGUUUUUAUUCAUUUUUCGUGACCAAGGCAUACGUUUGCUUUUAAUUAUACAACUAUGUUAAUUUUUUAGUUUAAUCAGUUCCAUGAUGUUACUAAUAUAAAUCUAUUAUUAUAAUUGAUAUAAAGGAUAUUUUGUAUGAUUAUAGGUGAUAAAAUCUCUGAUAAAUAUAAUAUGUAUGUGUGCACUCAAUAACACACAACUAUUUUUGGUUAAUCCUUUUUUCACAUCUUCAUGUCUAUAUUUACAAUGAUCAUUUUGGUAUAUCAUAACACUCACAAAUGAAGUCUGUUGACCGAUGUAACACCCCGUCCAAUCCCUGGACCAGUGGUACUUACUCCUGGCAGCUCUCUAGGAUCAUAUAUUGUCCCCACAGACCAACACGAGUCUUUUGUGCACACUUUGUCCUCACUCACGUGCACCCGAGAAAAUUUCCCGGUUGGUCACCCAUCCCAAAUUGCUCCAAGUGCUUACCCAUCCCAAAUUGCUCCAAGCCAGGCACCCUUAACUUGAAGGUUCUUUCGAGAUAGGCUUCCAAAAAACAAGAUGCACCUUGUUGGUAUAGAUACUCUAUUAAUUAUAUCAAGCCUUGGGCCAGGAUAUCACCAUCCCAGGGGCCAGGAUAUCACAAUCCACCCUCCUUAGAAGACCGACGGUCUCGUCGGUGAACCCCAAUCCAGGACCCUCCCCUCUUAGCCAUGUUUGUGUGUCUAGUGUCGUCAUAUUCCAUGCCAUGUGACCACUUUGGGCCCACAUGCGCCAAGCACCAUAUACCCGAACCCCUAACCCAAACACACCCGUGAAACCGUGGGGGUCGGCUCUGAUACCACUUGUAACACUAUGGCAGACAGAUAUCCCCUGGGUCCACUAGAAGACAAGAAGGCCUCACGCUGGGCCUCGGGCCAGUUACCUCGCAAGGGCAUCCCUUCGUGGGUAGGGCUAGAACUACUGGCGGAAUGGGCCGACCUGAGAAGGCAACAAAUUCAAGCCCAGGCAACCUGUCAAUUCGUGCGCUAUCCACAGCAACCGCCCGACUUUCCCACGUAUGGCAUCCUUGAAUAUUGGGGCGGAUUAGGGAUAAGUCCGCAAGAUUGUAGGAAGAUCAGUUCAGUCGAUUCACUAUUAUUUAGGAGACAUGUGAUCCUCAUGUACGCAUGGAGUGCCCCCACGGUCGAGUAUAUAAGGGCCAGGAGGUACCCCCAUCAUUUCCAUCGACCAUCUACCUAUCUCAUUAGCUUUUCUCCAUUCAGGAGACUUCACCUGUAACCUACCACAUAAAGAUCCACUCCAAGAAGUAGGGUAUUACGCCUCUCAAAGAGGCCCGAACCUGUAGAAAAUUGUUUGUCCCUCUCUCGUGUGUCUAGCACAAACCAUUGAGCUAUAGUCAACAGAAUCAUCCUACCCAAAAGCACCGCAAGGGGUAACCCUGGGUGUGCGACCGGACUCUAAACGCCGACAGCUGGCACGCCAGGUAGGGGGUGUGUCGUUGAUCCAAGCUAGCUCACUGGCCAUCACAUCCCAGUGCAAGAUUGCUCUUCGCCCUGGAACCAUGUCCUGCUUCAGAACCAUCUCGUCCAUAGUGGAUGAGAAGGGAACUCUUCACCGCAUAGCGAGCCCGCCGAAAAAGAAGCUUGCCUCAGAGAUCCCAAAGAAAACCAGAGUAGAACAGUGGGUGGCGCAGCCACCCGCAUGCCGAGCGAAGAUGACCUCUUACAAACAAAAAAUCGAGAGCUUACCUACCCAAAGAACUCCGCUGUCCACCUCACCCACAAAGGAGUGGACACGGAUCACUAGAAAGGAGGAAAACAUCCCGAGUAAGGGGACGAGACCUCACCGAGUCAUCUUUCCGGCACCUUCGCCCUCAAAGGAGGACGGAAAGAAAAGCGCUGUCGCAACAAGUCCUUUCUACCCCGACAUCCUCUUCAUCAGGGGGAGAUUGGAGUCGUCUCCCAUCUCCGACGAUGAUCCAACCAUGCAAGGGGAAGAACCUCCCCAGCGUGAAGCACGACGAGGAAGGAACAGACGCCUGAAUGUGCGGCGACAUCACGAGGCUGGGGAACGGGACUCGGCGCAGCCCGUAUCUCAGGACGAAGCUUCAGAAGUAGGAGAAACUCCCGAUGAGCGAGAACACCGAGAAAGACGGAAUUCUCGCCACCGUGAUCACCGACAAGCUUAGGACCGAGAGCGGGAGCAAGCCAAGCAAGGCGCAAGGCUGUGCCGAGAGAACCCUCUCUUUGCUAGGAACCUGUACCCCGACUUCGCUCAAUCAAUGAACACGCCGAGUGAAGUCGGAGGGGUGCAAGCCCAGAUAGCUGAUGGCCUCCCGCGAACUUCGGACGUGGAAGGCUACUGGCGGCUGCUUACUCGAGCAGCUAAUCACCUUCUGCCCAUCGCUCAUCCCCCGAGCGACUUACGCCACGCCAUCAACAGCCGACGAGAUGCGCGGAGCUCCAUCAACGCUUCGCGCGACUGACGGCAUGAAAGUGAGAUAAGGCGUCGAGAGGAGUAUGACCAGGAUCACGGUGUCUCGGCUCGAAGUCGCGCCACCCGAGUUGAGUCAGCUGCGGCCUCGACCAGUGGCCCGACCUAGGGACGAUCGAGACGACACACUACCAGCUCCCCUCCCCAGGACCGACCUCAUGAACGCCGGCAGGAAGACACAUGCGGGGUCUCCGCGUCUCCGGGCCAUCCAGUGGCCCCUAACUUCAAAGUUUCCAACGUCGACAAGUACGAGCCCAAGCAGGACCGGGGGGCUGGUUGACCGUCUACACGACCACCGCCCGGGCCGCUGGGGCGACGGAAGACGUAAUGAUAGUGUAUUUGCCCAUCGUCCUAAGGCAAGACGCACUGCAGUGGCUCCAACAUCUGCCACGACACUGCAUCGACGAUUGGAGCGACUUCAGUCAGCGUUUCAUCGCUAACUUCCAGUCUCUCUCUGACAAGCCGGCGUAGCCAUGGGACCUCAAAUCCUUUAGGCGCUUAGGGCGAUGAAACACUCCGGUCAUACAUCAAGAGGUUUCAGACCAUGAGGAACCGCUUCCCCGAAGUCGCCGAGGAAGCGGUGAUUGAAGAUUUCUACCGGGGAUCCAAUGACUCGGCCUUUGUUCGAGCCAUACUACAGAAAGCGCCCGCCACCUCCGAACAACUGUUUUGAGAGGCAGAUCUCUACAUCACCAUAGAUGAGCGGGCCUAGGACCUCAUCGGAGGUAUGAAAACCUGCACCACCCCUGCCACAAUGCGACACGAACCAACAACCUGACAUGCAUUGGUAGAAGAGGCCUCACGAGGAGGUGCACGCCGCCGGACCACCCGUCGCUCGAGCCUGUGGUGCGCCCCGUGGAGGGGUACAGACACUGGAUGAAAUCCUUGACGCCUAGUGCCUAUACCACAAGGACAUGCGCCACACCCUACGGAACUAUAGGGACUUCAAACACUCCAUCGGGUCGACCAUUCUAGCCUCUACCACCUCCCCCACCGCGAGGAGGGCCUAGCAAGCCCAAGCAGCUUCAGUAGCAAGAAGGGGGAGGGGGCAGAGCUUUCCCAUGCGUUGACAGGGAGGUCAAUGUCAUCUUCGGAGGCACGGGGCACAAGAGAACCAGAGGCGGCAAAAACUCAAUGACCGACAGGUCCUGGUGACCACCACCAGUGCCCCAGCUCCUUAUUGGUGGUCGGAGCAUGCAAUAACCUUCAGUCGAGCUGAUCAAUGGCUCAACUUUGAUCAUCCCGGCAAGUACCCUCUCCUUGUUGAUCCAGUGAUCUGAGAGAGCCGGGUGAAGAAAGUAUUAGUGGACGAGGGAAGCAGCAUCAACGUCACCUUCCCCCGGACACUCCAGGCCCUGGGGGUUGAACUCAAAGAUCUCACCGAGUUAGAUACUCCUAUCUUCGGCAUCGUGCCUACUGAAGGUGAGUACCCGCUCGGGCACAUCUACAUAUCCGUCACCUUCGGGACCUCGAAGAACUACAGAACUGAGUUCCUGUUGGGGACCUUCGGCGUCCGAAGGUCCUCAAAAACAGGAUUUAACAGUAUUUCUGUAGUACAAUGUGUGAACAGGUACCUUCGGACUAAAGUUGGCAUUGCAGUAGACCGGAAUAGUACGAAGGUUGAUACAGAGCCGAAGGUGCGAGCAGGAAAGCUUCGGCAUAACAGCAAAGAGUGGAACCGACUUAAAGAUGAAAAGGCUAUUCAGACCUCAAUAGACUACUAUAGAGUUAUUAUCAAAUGUAAAGGGCAUGAAUGUAAUUUUGUAAGGGCUGUGUCCCGUGUCUAUAAAUAGGUGAACAGUAUCCCCGUACUGUUCACGCUGACUUGGCAUUCGCUUUUUGCGUCACGCUUGUACUGUCAUUUCCUUCCGAUUGAAGGUACACUUGUAGUUCAACAAUAUUUUUGUUUAUGCUCAAUAAUAAUAAAUAAUUGUUCACGUUUUCUUUUACAUUCUUUAUAUUGCAUCCUUCGUCGUUGUUUGAUGAAUUGAUGAAGGUAUGACCUUCAUCACCUUCGUCCGCAAGUCAUUAUAUCCUAAGGGAAAUAAUGCUUCGGAGGACGAAGGAUAUUAACGAUUAACAUUUUCUAUGUUGCCUUGUUCUUAACUCUUAGCAUUUGAGAACAAGUCCCCAACAUUGGCGCCCACCUCCGGUGAACUCACUUCCAUUUCUUGAGCUUUUCAACACCUUCGGCAAGCAUCACCUUCGUCAUGCCGCCAAAGAAGACUUCAGCACCAGGGGCUGGCACGCUGCAGCCGCUGGACCCCAAUCAAGACGUCCUUUCUCUUCGAGAGGCACGAAGCCAGAAGAGGAAGGCUACCAGUCCAACACCUCCGGAGGAUGAUCUAGAUCAGGAAAUUCAAAAUCUGGAAAUCCUUCAGCAGCAGGUUCAACGCAAGAAGGAGAAGAUGGCCAGGCUAGUUGAACUGCAGAGGCAGAUAGAUGAAGCCUCUGAAGAAGUUCGUCAUCUUGCUCAAGACGAACAACACCGAAGGCCUCAACAUCAAGAUCUUCAUCAGGAGGGCUUUCCCAACGAAGAUGACUGGUAUGACCAUUUCCAUCAUGGGAAUUUUGUUUUUGAUGAUGCUUCUGCCCUGUCCGCUGAGCUGCAGGCUACACCUUGGCCUCCGUCUUACAAGCCGCCUCAGCUCCCUGUAUUUGAUGGCCACUCAGACCCGAAGCAGUUUUUGAUGAGCUACGAAGCAACAGUGUCUUCGUACGGUGGCAAUGCUUCAGUCAUGGCCAAAUCUUUUGUUAUGGCUGUCAGAAGUGUUGCUCAAACCUGGUAUUCCUCCCUUCGACCAGGAACGAUCACUUCAUGGCAGAAGCUGAAGGACUUGUUGUUAACUAGCUUUCAAGGGUUUCAGACGAAGCCGGUCACUGCUCAGGCUCUCUUCCAAUGUACCCAGGACCAUGAAGAGUACCUUCAGGCAUAUGUCCGAAGGUUUCUACGAUUGAGGGCACAAGCGCCAACAGUGCCCAAUGAGAUUGUCAUUGAGGCUAUGAUCAAGGGGCUUCGGCCAGGGCCGUCAGCACAGUAUUUUGCCAGGAAGCCACCACAAACACUGGAAAAGCUGCUCCAGAAGAUGGACGAAUACAUUCGAGCUGACAAUGACUUUCGUCAAAGAAGGGAGGAGGCUUUCAGGUUUUCUGAAAUGACCAGGGGCUUCGGAGGGAGGUUUUACCCGAGGCAUGUGAGAUCAAUUCACAAUUGUACACAAAAUGAUGACAGAGGAAGCCAACAGCAAAGGCCACAAUGCUCCUCACAGGCUUCUGGACAACAGCAAAACUCCUUCCGACCACCAGCUCCAAGAGGCAGAGGCGCCAGGGGCUUCGGAGGAAGAUUUGGCGAUCAACCGAGAAGAAUCUUUUGCUUAUUCUGUGGUGAGAACAAAGGCCAUACUACCAGGAUGUGCCAUGUUACUAUUCAGAAGCAAAAGGAAAUAGCUGAAGCAGCAGCACAGCAAGCCCAGCCGAAGCAGGUCAUGCAUACAGCUUCGUAUCAUUCGCCCUACAUCCCAGAAUAUGUGGGCAACCAUCCUGCAGUCUCUGCUGCUUCGGCGAGUCAGCCUCAAGCUUCCUGGCAACAGCCUCCGCCUCCACCUCCGUUGCAACAAGGCCAGCAGCCAGAAGGGAGCCAAUAUGCUCCGCAUCAAAGGGACUUCAGAGAACAGUCCGAAGCUCGCACGGUCAACAGCACUGUGCCAGAGUCAAAGCACAUCUAUUGACAAAUAUCCUACCUUAAUAAGCAAUCUUUUCAUUCAGUUUUAUUUUCUGUAAUAAAGGACAUUGUUUAGGUUACAUGUAAUUAGUUUCGUUCAUUCCUACAAGAGAAAUAUGUUUUCUUCACAGGCUUGUGAUAAUAAAAAGGACCUUCGGACUAUCGAAAGUUCUUCGAAGCAACAAAAAGUCGUUCUAAGGAACGCAGAGUAAGUUUGACGAAGUCACAAAAGUCGUUCCGAAGGGAGCGCAGUGUAAGUUUUCUGCUCCAAAGUCGUUCCAAAAGGAAUGCAGAGCAUACAGCGAAAAGUCAACGCUGAUACCGCCUAAGUAAAAGGCGAAGAAGCUCCAAAGACGUUCCUAAGGGAAUGCAGAGCUUACAGCGAAAAGUCAACGCUGAUUCCGCCUAAGUAAAAGGCGAAGAAGCUCCAAAGACGUUCCUAAGGGAAUGCAGAGCUUAUAGCGAAAAGUCAACGCUGAUUUACAAAAAGAUUAUGUGUUUUAUCGCGCAGAUAUGUGUGUAUUUUCGGAACAUCACCUUACAUAGCAUAACAUCAUCACAUCAUCUUUGCAUAACAUAAGCAUCAUACAUCAUACUGCAUGUGGCAAAAGAAAGAAGUAUGAUACCAAUCUUCGGGAAAAUGCUUUGAAAAAGGGGCAAAUCAUGCCGUCACAAGGAAAAACAAUAUUGAUCUCUCAAGUAUAGCCUUGAAGCAUGUUUCUACGAAGCUUCAACACUCUUUCAGGAUACUUCGGAUAUUGUUGUGAUAAAUGGUAAUUCUUCUUCACGAAGCAUGAAAAGAAGGGAAGGUGUUUUUUCGCCAAAGACUCAAAAACGGUACGUGUGUAAAGUUUCAUGCAUCGUAAAGAGUUGAGUAGCAAAAAUAGAUAUAUUACAUUCGGGGUUACAAAAUGUUACACUAUAUUACAUUUCAGAAGUUUUUUACAAAAAUGUUUAAUCCUCUCUCAAAACGACUUCUGCAGCCUCAUUCAGGAGCCGAUUGACGACUUCGUCCAUAAUAUCUUCGGCCAUCUUUUUAAUUUCGUCGUCCCCCUUCGGCUGGGGGUCCGAAGGCGCUUUAGUCGGAUCUGAAGCAGGACACGGCUACAUUGCUAUUACAAAUCGUAAACAAAUCUUAAAGCCUAAGAUUAUAACACGAUAAAAACUACUAGUUAAUACCUAAUUGACCUUCGGCCUCUGCGCUCUUUUUAGCAGCCUCAGCUACUUCUCUAGCAUCGUGAAUGCCCUUUUCACUUCUUCGAAUAAUUUCUCCGGCCAUCUCUCGGCCACCAUUAUCCCAGAUAUCAGUAAAAAACUUUCCACCAAUUAUGCUAGCUUCGGCCGAAGGAUCUUUUGUAUCUUCAAAGGACAAAGCAGCUUCGGACUGUGCCAAAAUUUUUAUAUGUUCACAGCCCUUUUUCUCUAAGAUGGUGGCAAUCCCUCUGGCGCCAGAGAAGGCACAUAUAUCUCCUCGGCUACUUAAAAUUUCUUCAAAAGCUUCAGCUUCGUGGCCAAUCCAUUCAAUAACACCUUCGGGAUUGCCUCUCGAAAAGUUUUCCUCACUUGAGAACGCGCCAACCUUGGCGAAGCUAGUCUUUAAUUUCUUAACACAAUCUAUAGACUUGUUGUAGCAUCGCUUUUUGGACGAACGAAGCUCUUCAACAGUCACUUCUAGGUGAUCCGCCCAUUGGUCGCUGAGUUCACGUUUUGUUUCUUCAAGAAUGCGCUCUUCCUUGGCUCUGGCCAGUUGCUUCCGAAGGUCUUCAAUUUCGCGUUUCUGAACUUCGGCUUGACUUUUAAAAGCAGCUUCGUCUUCCUUUAUUUUAUUUAUCAAUGAGUAUAAUAUUUUAUCUUUUUCGAGACCUUCGUUCCUCAGUUCAAUUACUUCAGAACGAAGGUUGCUCAGGGCUAUAGUACACCCUUCGUCCUCAGCAUCUUUCUGCGCCCUGAGGGCAUUGCUGAGUAUCAGGCCCUGCAAAGAAGAGUAUGUUUGUAUCCUUAGAUUUAAACAAACGAAAAAUUUUGAAAAAAUACAAGAAUUUCAUUUCUCGCACCUUUAAGCUAUUGUAAGCUAGGCUGUCAGCCAGAUCAUUCUUUGACAGCACCGAAAGUCCGUCUUCUAAAGUUGGAAAUCCGAAGCUCCUGCUCAUCUCCCGACAGACAGAAAUUUCCUUGCUGUCGGGGAGACAAUACAAGAAGCCUUCUUCUCCACUGCCAUUGAAUAUUAAUGCCCCUUUUGGAUAUUUCAGUCUUUGGGCAUAGUGCUGGGCCUCUUGUUCUUCUUUUUCUGAUAGUUUUUUCCCCGAAGCAUGACGAAUAAUAUAGUCACGAAUAUUGGAGGAUGCUUCGGGGGCAAUAACACCGGUUUCUUCAGCAAAUGUUGGCUUUGUUAUUUUUUCUGCCUCACUUUCCAAGGGUUUUAUCUUUGCGGGCUCUGAAGGCCCAGCUUCGGUUUCAGUCUCUUGACUUGGAGCUUUAGAAUCAGAAAUUUCAGUUGUUUCGGGAGUAGCAGCAGCCUUCUUCGGAGGUGUGCUUGAAGAUUUAAUCGUUUCCAGUACAUCUAGCACAUUCGCCAUUCUCUUUCUUUUCGGAGUUACGGCUGGCACUUUUUCAUUUUUUGCCCUCCCAAUGCUUGCUGCAGGACUCAAAACUUCUGAUGUUUUGGAACUCCCAGUUACUUCCUUUACCUCUUCCAUUUUUUCUGUGGAUGGCGCUUCGGCCUUCUCUUUCGUUUCUGAUAUCAAAAUCUUUGAUUGCUCCAAUUUUGUCUCUGUUGGCACUUUGGCCGCUUCUGCGACUUCUGGCAGCAAAGUUGGCUCGGUUGGUUUUUCAGCUUCGGUGGCCGAAGGAAUUUCUCCAGUAAACUCAGGCACCGAAGCUGGUUCAAUAUAGCGCGGCCGAUGUGUGAGAACCUUUAUUUUCUUUCUUUUUGGUUCUGGCUCGUCAAAAGCAAUUGUAGCUUCUUCUUUUGCAGAGGUUGUGUUUUUUCUCUUCUGCCUUUGAAUGGGAUAGCAAUAGUCAGGGUAGACAAACCCGAUUGCAUCGAAUACCCGAUUCAGCCUCUUCUUCUUUCGGCCUCCGAAGGCUGCCGACAUUGCAGUAUCUUCGGCCUUCGAAUAAGCCCCAAGCAGUUCAUCACUUAAAUUUUCAAUACUUUUUAACCAGUCGUCAUCUGGCUCGACGAAUUUAUCUCCAAAUUUAAAAGUGUACUUCAACCUGAUAAGACCACCUUCGUCGGCCUCUUUUACGGUUUCUUGAGGCAUUUCCCAUUUCUCCGCAAGUGGCCAUACCCUGAAGGCAAUAUGUUCUUGAACUAAAUCUCUUGUUCCAAUGAAAGAGCACACUGCGCCGAAGGCCCUCUGGCAUUCUUCGGCAGCUUCAUUCAUUUCAACCUUCGGCCUCCGAAGGCCGAAGCUUUGCCAAAUAGGGCGCAUAAUUAUGCCUUUGAUAUCUUCUCGCGCGCUCAGGUCAUUUUUCACAUAGAACCAUUCUGUCAUCCAGUCUCCGGGCCAUCUUUUCCGAAAGGUCGGCACGGGGCAGCUUGACCCAGACCGAGAAACAAAACUGUAGCAGCCAAAAUUGUUGUGAUACUGUUCCUUACCCCAAGGUUUUGUUUCAUAUAAUAGUUCAUGUAUAUUGCAGAAGCUUUUUGCGUCAGGCUUCAGACCUUGGCUUCUCACGGCCCACACGAAGACAUUCAGUUUUAUAAUUGCCUCGGGCGUAAGUUGGUGGAGAUAAACUUCGAAUAUUUUCAGUACCUCCACAACGAAGCUGCUCAAAGGAAAUCGCAGUCCAGCUUUCAGAAAGCUUCGGUACACUACGACUUCAUUCUCUUCAGGGUGUGGGCAAGUUUUUUCGCCUUCAUCGGCCCUCACAAUGGAUAAAUCCCGGAAAUACCUUCCUCUCAUGUUGACAAGAUGAUUCUUUUUGAUAGUUGAUUUACCAUAAACUGAAUGGCUUGGUCGCCAUGGACGAUCUUCGGAGUCCUCGCCACCACUGUCCACAUCAUAGCUGUCACUGUCACCAGUAUCUUCGGACAAACCUUCCAGAAUCUCCUUAGUAAUCUUUUCUGUAUUGGUCUUUGACAUCGCUAUAAGAAACCCCAGGUUUUUCUCUUCGUCAAGGCUCAGCUUCAUCUCAGCAACAGCCUUCUUAUCUUCAGACAUCUUCGGAGACGCUAAAAAACUAUUUUCAAAGCCGAAGCUUCAAAGCUAAAAGCUUAGCAAAUCACAGUGCACAAGAGCUAAAAAUUGAGUGAGCAGGAGUGGUUCGCCAGAAAGCGUGCAAAAUGAGUUUGCGGUAUGGCCGUAUUUAUACGCUUGGUGUGUUGAAAGCUGAAAGACCCCACUUGUCAUUGAAUGUUGCUAUUCUAGCAAAGGGAAGGUGUUUUUUCGGACCUUCGGCGUAAAACCUUCGUCCAUAUCGCAAUCUAAAUUUAUUAUUUCAAACAAAUUAAAAUUGCGAGGGGCUACUGUUGGGGACCUUCGGCGUCCGAAGGUCCUCAAAAACAGGAUUUAACAGUAUUUCUGUAGUACAAUGUGUGAACAGGUACCUUCGGACUAAAGUUGGCAUUGCAGUAGACCGGAAUAGUACGAAGGUUGAUACAGAGCCGAAGGUGCGAGCAGGAAAGCUUCGGCAUAACAGCAAAGAGUGGAACCGACUUAAAGAUGAAAAGGCUAUUCAGACCUCAAUAGACUACUAUAGAGUUAUUAUCAAAUGUAAAGGGCAUGAAUGUAAUUUUGUAAGGGCUGUGUCCCGUGUCUAUAAAUAGGUGAACAGUAUCCCCGUACUGUUCACGCUGACUUGGCAUUCGCUUUUUGCGUCACGCUUGUACUGUCAUUUCCUUCCGAUUGAAGGUACACUUGUAGUUCAACAAUAUUUUUGUUUAUGCUCAAUAAUAAUAAAUAAUUGUUCACGUUUUCUUUUACAUUCUUUAUAUUGCAUCCUUCGUCGUUGUUUGAUGAAUUGAUGAAGGUAUGACCUUCAUCACCUUCGUCCGCAAGUCAUUAUAUCCUAAGGGAAAUAAUGCUUCGGAGGACGAAGGAUAUUAACGAUUAACAUUUUCUAUGUUGCCUUGUUCUUAACUCUUAGCAUUUGAGAACAAGUCCCCAACAGUUCCUAAGGUUCAAGGUGGCGCGCUUCGACUAUGGGUACAACGCCAUCAUCGGAAAGCCGGGACUAGCAACGUUCAUGGCUAUUUCGCAUUACCUAUACAUGAUACUAAAGAUGUCGGGACCUCAAGGAAUCAUCACUAUGCGUGCUGAUUUCCAAGGUGCUGCAGAGUGCUUUCGGGGAGCCAUUCAGACAGCUCUCACUGCUGGGCCCUCGAUAGCUCUUCCCACACAGGUGAACACUAGGUCGAAGGAGGAGGGUCUCACAAUACCCACCAAUGAAGCUCAGGUCGUGACCUCUAUACGACUGACUGAAGAGACUAAGAGGAUCAACCUGGGAUUCGCUGAUGAGCGCAAGACCGCCAUCAUCAGUUCCAGCCUUGAUGACAAAUAGGAAAGCGCGCUCGUCCGAUUUCUGCAAGAUAACCGAGACGUAUUCGCAUGGCAACCUGUGGAUAUGCCGGGAGUCCCGAGAGAGCUGGCCGAGCACAAAUUGAAGGUCUAUCCUCAAGCAAGGCCGAUUCGACAGAAGCUGCAUCGUUUCACGCCUGACAAAAGAGAAGUUAUUCGCAUCAAGUUAGCUUGCUUAGUGUCUGCAGGGUUCAUUAGGAAAGUACUGCACCCUGAGUGGCUAGUGAAUCCUAUUCUUGUACUCAAAAAGAAUAAAGUGGAUUGGCGCAUGUGCGUCGACUAUACUGAUCUCAACAAGCAUUGUCCGAAGGUUCCCUUCGGGCUCCCUAGAAUAGAUCAGGUAGUUGAUUCAACCGCUGGUUGUUCUAUGCUCGCUUUUCUAGACUGCUACUCCAGAUAUCAUCAGAUCAGCUUGGCAAAAGAAGAUGAAGAGAAGACUGCUUUCAUCACCCCAUUUGGAGCUUUCUGCUAUACCUCCAUGUCGUUCGAUCUCAAGAAUGCUGGGUGACUUACCAGAGAGACAUCCAAACAUGCUUAGCCGAUCACUAGGGCAAGCGAGUGGAAGCCUACGUCGACGAUGUGGUUAUCAAGAUAGAAAACUCAGAAAACUUCAUCGAAGAUUUGUAGUUGGUCUUCAACAGCCUGAGACGCUACCGGUGGAAGCUGAACCCAGAAAAGUGUGUCUUCAGAGUACUGGCUGGGAAGCUACUCGGAUUCAUUUUCAGCCACCAAGGAAUUGAAGCAAAUCCAGAAAAGAUCGAGGCCAUCAUGAGAAUGGAAGCACCAUGGUCACAAAAAAGGUGGAAAGGCUUACUGGAUGCAUGGUAUCCCUAAGUAGGUUCAUAUCAAGGCUAGGAGAUAAAGGGAUGCCAUUUUACAAAUUGCUCAAGAAUGUGGACAUAUUUCAGUGGACCAUAGAGGCACAGGAAGCUCUAGAGGCACUCAAGAAGUUCUUAACCACACCACCAGUACUCAAGCCGUCAUGCCGAGCUACGCCUUGUCAACCGGUAGAAGAUCUGCUCCUUUACAUCUCCUGCACGACUCACGUGGUAAGCACCACGUUAGUAGUCGAGCGGGCGGAGGAAGGACAUGCAUACCCAGUGUAGCAUCUAGUUUACUUGAUCAGCGAAGUCCUCGGGCCCUCAAAGAUAUGGUAUCCUCAAGUGCAGAAGCUGUUGUACGCGAUACUUGUAACCGCUCACAAGCUCCGACACUACUUUGACGACCAUAAAGUCAUAGUAGUCACAGGAUUUCUGAUAGGGGAUAUUCUCCACAACAAAGAAGCUAUUGGAUGGAUAGCCAAGUGGGCAUGCGAGCUCGGAGCUCAUGACAUAGAGUUCUGGCCCCGCAUGGCAAUAAAAACUCAGGCGCUGUUCGACUUCAUAUCAGAAUGGACUGAGCACCAGGUCCCGGAUAGCCCAGAAGUUACUAAAGUGUGGACAAUGUACUUUGAUGGCUCGUUAAAACUGCAAGGAGCGGGUGCAGGGAUUCUCUUUAUUGCUCCUAGAGGUGAACAACUCAAGUAUGCACUCCAACUGUUGUUUCCAGCAUCAAAUAAUGCGGCAGAGUAUGAAGCACUGGUCCACGGGCUGAGCAUCACAGUAUCACUCGGCAUCAAGAAGCUGAUGGUAUAUGGCGACUCGUUGGUGGCCAUAAGCCAGAUAAACAAGGAUUGGGACUGCUCGACCGAUUCAAUGGGCAAAUACUGCGCAGCUGUGCGAAAACUAGAAGACAAGUACGAAGGAUUGGAGUUCCAUCACAUGGAAUGGGAUCGCACUGCAGCAGCAGAUGUGUUGUCAAAGCUAGGAUCCACUCAGGCCCAGGCUCCACCUGGGAUCUUCGUCCAAGAAAUAUCACAGCUGAUCUUCCUCGUGGACCAGGUGGAAGAAUGCAACACCUUGAGUUAGCCAGAGGCAGAUCCCAACGACUGGAGAGAGCCUAUCAUCAGGUACAUAAAGAAUAAAGAAGAGUCGGAUGACAAGGCCACGACAGAACACAUCGUGAGGCAGUUAGCCCACUACAACAUCAUAGGGGGCUUGCUGUACAUGAGAGGUGCAGGAGGAGUCUUCAUGAAUUGCAUCCACUCGGCCACUGGGAGACAAUUGUUAGAUGAAAUCCAUGUCGGGCAGUGUGGGGUGCAUGCUGCAUCAAGGACUCUGGUGGGAAAGGCUUUCAGAUCCAGUUUUUACUGGCCCAUUGCGAAGAGUGACGCUACCGAGUUAGUCCAGAAGUGUGAAGCGUGCCAAUUCGUGUCAAAGCAACAACACUUGCCCGCGCAGCAGCUGCAGACCAUUCCUGUAACCUGGUCGUUUGCAUGCUCGGGGCUGGACAUGAUCGGACCUUUCAAGAAGGCUCAGGGAGGCUACACUCAUAUACUGGUUGCCAUUGACAAAUUCACAAAAUGGAUAGAGUACAAGCCAAUUGCCUCCUUGACCUCAGCAAAAGCGGUGGAGUUUAUCUAGGAUAUAUUAUUCAGGUUCGGGAUACCAAACAACAUCAUCACUGACCUGGGAUCCAACUUCACCAGCUCUGAAUUCUUCGAUUUCUACGAGCAAAGGAGCAUCUAGAUCAAGUACGCAUCAGUGGCACAUCGAAGAGCCAAUGGCCAGGUGGAAAGAGCCAACAGAAUGAUACUGGAAGCACUCAGAAAAAAGUAUUCGACAAGAGCGAAAAGCUUGCAGGAAAAUGGAUCAGAGAACUGCCAUACGUGGUCUGGAGCCUGCGAACUUAACCCAGUCGAGCUCUGCAUGGAAAUACUCCGUUCUUCAUGGUUUAUGGGUCGGAAACAGUGCUGCCUGCCGAUCUGAUCUUCAGGGCGCCGAGGCUGACUUUUGAAAACAUAGUUGAGGCAGAAGCAACCAGGCUAGAAGACAUUGAUGUGCUGGAUCGAACAUAGUAAUUCAGUCAGCCAGGUACCAGUAGACCUUGAGGCGCUACCACGACAAAGCUGUGCGGCACCGAUCCUUUGCAGUGGGAGACUUGAUCCUCCGCCGGAUUCUAAUGUGGGAGGGACGACACAAGCUUUCACCACCAUGAGAAGGAUCGUUCAUCGUAGCAGAGGUCACACGGCCAGGAUCAUAUCGACUUACUCAGAUGGACGACACAUAAGUGGGGAACUCAUGGAACAUAGAACACCUCAAAAAGUUCUACCCUUAGCGAGGCCUCAAAAACCCUCGAAGAAAAGUUGUACUCUGUAACUAGAAGAUUUCAUCAUCAAUAAAGCUGUCAUUUUCCAAAGGCAUUCAAACUCUUGAUUGACAACUGGCUUUGAUUGGGCUUGACUCGAAAUCGGCAUGACUUGACUUAGGGUGAUCACUAUGCCCUACUAACGGAACAAUUGGCUUAAGUCAGAAACGCCUUAAGUCGGUGCGACAUGCUCACACUUACUUGACUUAGGGUGAUCACUAUGCCCUACUAACGGAGCAAUCGUCUUAAGUCGGAAACACCUUAAGUCGGUGCAACAUGCUCACACUUACUUGACUUAGGGUGAUCACUAUGUCCUACUAAUGGAGCAAUCGGCUUAAGUCGGAAAUGCCUUGAGUCGGUGCGACAUGCUCACGCUUACUUACCUUAGGGUGAUCACUAUGCCCUACUAACAGAGCAAUCGGCUUAAGUUGGAAAUGCCUUAAGUCAGUGCGACAUGCUCACGCUUACUUAACUUAGGGUGACCACUAUGCCCUACUAUCAGAGCAAUCGGCUUAAGUCGGAAACGCCUUAAGACGAUGCGGCAUGCUCACACUCGCAUGAUUUAGGGUGACCACUGUACCCAAGUAGCAAAAUAACCAACUCAAAUUGGGAGUACUUCGAAAAAAGAAAUAUCUCGCUUACAAGUUCCAGGGGUGUUUUCCAGCACCCUGCCCACUGAACAAUCAGUUCUAACAUAACUGUUGCACACUUGCAGAAUUCAUAUUACAUAUUUUCUCUAAAAGGUGCUAACUCGAUUGUUGGGGGCCUUCCUCUUCCAAAGGUCCUAAAAAACGUGACUAAUAUGUUUUUCAGUGUAACAUAGACUGCUGCAGGAGGCUUCGGCUUUGGGAUGAAGGUAUCCGUGAUAUGGAGAUACAACCUGAAGGCAGGAUGAACGGACACCGAAGCUGUGGCUGAAGGAGUUUCGGCUUAAUAUAAUGUCGAAGGUGGAAGAUGAAACCGACCUAAAGGGGAAAGACUACUUAGUCCUUAAUAGCUCGCCUUAUGAUUAACAGUAAAUGUCAAAUACAUGAAUGUAAUUUUGUCCGGGCUGCAUCUCAUGCCUAUAAAUAGAUGAACAGUAACACCGUACUGUUCACGCUGAAUUGUUAUCACUCUUGCGUCACUCUCGCAUUUCACCUUCUGGCAAGCCAAAGGUAUUAAUGUAAUGUUAAUAUCAUUGAUGUUUAUUCAUAUUUAUAAAAUGAGAAUAUAAAUUAUCUAAUAAUUAAUGAUUAUUUAUAUUCUUUUGUGUUUCAUGUAUACUUAUUUAUAUUCGUUCACUGAGAUGAUGAAGGUACGCCCUUCAUGACCUUCGUCCAAAGAUCAUUAUAUCCCAAAGGAGAUAAUGCUUCGAAGGACAAAGGUCUUUAAUCGUUAACAAUUGUGUUGCUUUGUUCUUGAUGUAUAGCAUUCGAGAACAAGGACCAAUAUUGGCGCCCACCUCCUGUGAACUCAUUCGACCACCUUCGGCAAGCAUCGACUUUCGCAAUGCCGCCGAAGAAGACAACGGUGCCAGGGGCUGCCCUGCAGCCACUGGACACUAAUCAGGAGACGCUGCGAGAAGCUAGGAGCUAGAAGAGGAAGGCUACUAGCCCAACACCUUAGGAGGAGGAGUUGAAUCAAGAGAUCAGGGAUUUGGAGGCUAUCCACCAACAGGUGCAAAGGAAGAGGGAAAAGAUGCUUCGGCUCAUCGACCUUUAGAAGAAGAUCGAUGAAGCUGCUGAAGAAAUGUGUCACCUCACUCAGGAUGACCAAGACCGAAGGCCCCAACACAGGGAGCUUCGCCAAGAAAGCCUAUUCAAUGAUGAUGAAUGGUACGGUGACUUUCAUCAGGGCAAUUUUGCUUUUGAUGAUGCUUCUCCCAUGGCAGCAGAUUUGCAGGCUACCCCAUGGCCGCCGUCAUACAAGCCACCUCAGAUCCCCAUGUAUGACAGGCACUCAGACCCGAAGCAAUUCUUGAUGAGCUACGAAGCAACUAUAUCCUCAUAUGGGGGCAAUACUACAGUCAUGGCAAAGUCAUUCGUCAUGGCAGUCAAAAGCGUAGCUCAAACUUGGUACUCUUCUCUUCGGCCAGGGACAAUUACGUCAUGGUAGAAGCUAAAGGAUAUGCUAGUGACCAGCUUUUAGGGUUUUCAAAUGAAAUCGGUCACUGCCCAAGCUCUUUUUCAGUGUAUGCAGGACCAGGAGGAGUACUUGCAGGCGUAUGUCCGAAGGUUCUUGAGGCUGAGAGCUCAAGCACCUACAGUGCCUAAUGAGAUCAUCAUUGAGGCCAUGAUCAAGGGGCUCCGGCCAGGACCUACGGCGCAAUACUUCGCAAGGAAGCCACCACAAACCUUGGAGAAGCUUCUCCAGAAAAUGGAUGAGUACAUCAGAGGUGACAAUGAUUUUUGACAAAGAAGGGAAGAGGCCUUCAGAUACUCUGAGUUGGCCAAGGGCUUCGGAGGAAGAUUCCACCCUAGGCAUGUCAGGUCGAUUCAUAAUUCCAGUACAAAUGACAACAGGGGAAAUCAUACCCAAACACAACAACACAGCUCUCAAUCAUCAGGGGCGCAACAAAGUUCUUUAAGGCCAUCAACUCCAAGAGGUAGAGGGGGCAGAAGCUUUAGAUGAAGAUAUGGAGAUCAGCCUAAGAAACUGUUUUGUUUGUUCUGCGGCAAAGACAAAGGGCAUACCACAGGAACGUGCCAGGUUACAUUCAAAAGCAGAAAGAAAUUGCCGAAGUUGAAGCAUGGCAGAAUCAGCCGAAGCAGGUUCUACAUACCCCUUCAUGCUACUCUCCCUACGUCCCAGAGUAUGUAGGCAAUCAACAGCCUACCGCCUCUAUUGCUUCGGCAAGCCAUUCUCAAGUUUCCUGUGCCUAGUUGCCACCACCACCACCACCGCUAGCACCUACUCUGGUUCGCAGUCAGUAGCCAGAAGGGCAUCACCACGCUCAGCAACAGCGCGAUCUUCGGGAGGAGUCCGAAGCUCGCACAGUCAACAGUACUGUGCCCGAGUCGAAGCACAUUUACUAAAGAAUAUCCUAACCUGGUGUAUCUUUGUUUUGUUUGUCAUUUUAUUUUUUCAUGAAAAACAGUUCACAGGGGUUUAAUCUCCAAUUUGAUGUAAUAAUAUUGUGGUCACAUCAUCGAGUGUAGAAUGCAACCCUCAACAAUGCUUUCGAAGCUACAAAGUCGAUCCUAAGGGAGCACGGAGUAAGUCCCGAAGCUACAAAGUUGUUCCUAAGGGAGCACAGAGUAAGUUCCGAAGCUACAAAGUCGUUCCUAAGGGAGCGCAGAGUAAGUUCCAAAGCUCAAAAGUCGUUCCUAAGCGAAUGCAGAGCCAAUAUUCCACAGAAAUAAAAGGUGAAGAAGCUCAAAAGUCGUUCCUAAGGGAAUACAGAGCUUAAAUACCACCGAAAUAGAAGGUGAAGACGCUCAAAAGUCAUUCCUAAGGGGAUGCAAAGCUUAAAUGCCACCAAAAUUGAAGGUGAAGAGACUCAAAAGACGUUCCUAAGGGGAUGCAGAGUCUGGGUGUGUUUUCAUGUGGGUAUGUGUCUUCAGCAUAAACAUCAUGCUGCAUCAUAUCAUCGCAUCAUUUCGCAUAGCAUUACAUCAUACAUCAUGUCGCAUCAGCAACAAGAUUGUGGAGAAGGAAAGGGGCUUCUUUCAAAAUAUGCGAUGAAUGGAACAAUGUGCUGGAGCACAAAGUGUACCUUCAGAAAUUAUAAUUUUACAUGCCAAAAGAAUCUUCGUCAACAACAAUAUUAUAUAACAGCUGCGACAUAAGAAGAGGUCUCUUUCUUUGUGAAGCAUGAAAAGAAGGGAAGGUGUUUUUUCGCCGAAGGCUCAAAAAUGGUAUGUACGCAAAUUUCAUGCAUCGCAAAAAAAUAUAUUACAUUAAUAUACACACAAAUACUCAAUGUUUAACUCAUAUACGAAUAUUACAUUUCCCAAAUACUAUAUUUCUUAAGUACAUAAGAAUUCAGUCUUCUUUUAAUAUCUUCUUGGCAGCUUCGUUCAGGAGUUUGUUGAUAGCUUCAUCAACGGUUUCUUCUGCAAUCCUUAUUGUUUUUAAUGCUGCUUUCAUGGCUGGAUUGGCCUCAGGGUCAUAUGGCUCAGGUGGCGGUCAAAGUUCAGUUGUAGAAAAGAACAAGUUGUUAAUCCGAAGCCAAAAAAUAAACACCGAAGCUAAAAUUCAGUAAUAAUACCUAUACGUAUUGCACGCUCAGCAGCCUCUUCGGCUCGCUUAGCUUCUUCUCAGGCGUCAUGAGAUUCCUUUUCAUUUUUCUUUAUAGCUUCGUUGGCUAUCUCGCGGCCGCCCUUCAUCCAAACAUCCGAAUAGAAUUUUCCGCCUAUCAAAGUAGCUUUGGUUGAGGGCUCCUUAGCGUUGUCUAUGGAGAAGACGGCUUCUGCCUGGGUUGCGGCUUUAAUGUGUUCACAACCAGUUUUCUCUAGAAUCGCUGCAACCCCUCGAGCACCGGAGAAGGCACAAAAAUCCCCAUGGUCGCUAAGAGUUUCUCCAAAAGCUUCACCCUCUUCGUCGAUCCAUUAAAUGACUCCUUCUAGAUCGUCUCGAAUAAACUUUUGCUCUGAUGAGUAUGCACCCACCUUGGCAAAGCUAUCUUUCAGUUUCUUGGCGCAAUCCAUGGAUUUCUCAUAACAUCUUUCCUUGGAUUCACAAAGCUCUUUCACAUUCUUUUCCAACCUCACACUUGUCCAUUCACUUAUCUCUUGCUUUGCCUUUGCAAGUUCAAAGUUUUCAUUAGCUUCGGCAAUCUUUUUCUGAAGAUCUUCGACUUCGGCUAUAUGAGCUUCGGACUGUGCAGUAAGUUUGGCUUCGCUGACCUUUACUCUGUCUACCAAGGAGAGUAGAAUUUUAUCCUUUUCUAAGGCUUCAUUCCUCAGUCUGAUAACCUCUGUCCGAAGGUUCCCAAGUGCAAUUGCACAGCUUACAUUUUUGGCCUCUUUUUGGGCUCUUAAAGCUUUACUAAGAAUUAAGCCCUAAUAACAAAAAAUGCGUGUGAGAACAUAAAAGCAAAGAGAAAACCAAUAAACAUAACUUACUUCAUGAAUCAAAGAGUAUAUACCUUUAAGCUGUUAUAAGCAAGGCUAUCCGCAAGGUCAUCUUUUGUCAUUACAGAUAGUCCAAGUUCUAGCUUCGGGAAUCCUAUAUUUUUUGCCAUCUCCCGGCAAACAGAUAUUUCCUUGUUGUCUGGAAGACAGUAUAGAAAAUUGUCUUCAUCAGUACCAUUAAACACCAGGGAUCCUGGGGGAUACUUCAGAUCCUUAGCAUAAUGCAUACCUUUGGCAAUCUGUUCCCCUGAUAGCUUUUUCCUCGCCGCGUGAAACACAAUAAAGUCCAAUCCCUCAAUAGAAGCUUCAGCGACAGAGGGUUCAGAUUCUUUGCUACUUCUCCCUUUUUCUAACGAUAAUGGAGCUUUUGCAGUAUCCGAAGGUCCUUGUUCAGUAUUCUUUUCAACAGUCCCUGCAGGCCCUAUUUCUGCGGAAGCUGAGGGCCCGGCUUCAGUUUCAAUCUGGGUCAUGAUAGCUUCGGCAGUUUCUUUCGUAUUCUUUUCACCUAUGUAAGGUACUUCUGCAAAGGCAGGAGUCAGUACUUUUGUCGAUUCCAUGACCGCGUCUAAAACGCUGGCCAUUCUCCUCCUUUUUAGAGUUGCUGCAGGAAUUUUUGUCAUCUUCGGCAGCCCCAUCUCUUGCGACGUGCUCAGAAACUUCGGUUGCUUGGCCGACCUCUUUGGUUCUGGUCCUUCGGCUGAUUUUUUAGUUUCACCAGGUCACUUUGGCACUUCGACCGUCUCGGUUUCCUCCUGUACCGUUAUCACCAUCGGUUUCGGCACUUCGGCCGAUUCUCCCUUGGCUUCGGCAGGAGUGGGAAACUCUGGCUCAAUAGCGGAAGAAGUCCCCUCAGCAAGCUUCGGCACUCUAUCCGUUUCGAUGUACCUAGGCCGGUGUGUCAAAACUUUAAUCUUUUUCCCCUUUGGCGUAGCAGAAAUGGCCGAAGCAGCAGCUUUUCUUUUCUUUCUCUACUUCCGCGAGGGAUAACAAUAGUCUGGGUAUACAAAACCAAUUACAUCAAAAACUAUGUUUAAUCUUCUCUUGCCUCGUCCUCCGAAGGCUAAUAUCAUGACAUCAUCUUCGGCCGUUGUGUAGGCCCCAAGCAAUUCGUCACUAGUUGCCUCAACACAAUCCAGCCAUUCAUCGUUCAGCUCAUCAAAUUGAUCCCUGUAUCUGAAGGUGUAUUUUAGAUAAACCAAGCCGCCUUGACUGGACCCGGUAGCAGCUUCCUUCGGCAUCUCCCAGUCAUUUACAAGAGGCCACACUCUAUAAAAGUGCAUACAGUGUUAAAAGCCUUCUGGCAUGCUUCAAUUUCAUUUCCAAGAGUAGUGGUUGGCCUUCAGAUGCCGAAGCGAGACCAAAUAGGGCGUUGAAUGAUCCCCUUUAUAUCUUCUCUUUCAACUAAGUUGUUCUUUUCAUAAAACCAUUCUUCCAUCCAAGCUCCUGGCCACCUGUGAGCGAGGCACGAAGCCGUAACAACCAAAAUUAUUAUGAUAUUGCUCUUUGCCAGUAUUUUUCGUCUCAUAGGACAGCUCAUGCAUGUUACAGAAGCAUUUUGCACUCGGCUCUAGUCCUUGGCUCCUCAUGGCCCAAAUGAAAAUCCUCAUUAUGAUGAUAGCUUCAGGGGUAAUCUGAUGAAGGUAAAUCUCAAAAGUCUUCAGAACCUCAACUAAAACUGAAGCCCUGCCUUCAUAAAGCUCCUAUAGACAACAACUUCGUCUACUUCGAGCGCAGGGGCAGUGCUAUCCCCUGCAGCCCUCACAAUUGAAAUAUCACAGAAGUAUCUUUGUUUCAUAGCAUCAAUCUGACUUUGCUCGUGUCACACCUGGAUUUCGGGGCACCAAGACCCGGGCGCGAACAUAAUCACCAGGUGUGCUGGGACCAAGUCUCACACAUAUGAUGAAUCAUGGCACAGGAUCGAAUGUCACAUCUUUACUGCAUAAUAGGAGUUCUAUACAAAAUAAAUAAUUACAUUAUAAGGAGACAACGGUCCAACAACCCAAAGUUGACUGGGAGACGACGACCUAGACCUCUCACGAACACAUCGCAGCAUCCUCCAUGUGCCUCAUCCCGUGGUACCUGUUCUUGACCUGUGGGGGGGUGAGACAGCAAGAGUGAGCUCACAUACGUUCAUUGCUCAACAAGUUGUGGGGAAUAAUGUGCAUGAACUCACCAAAGGUGGGAGCUCACGUGAAGUGUAAGGCUUACCAAAGAGGAUGGUUAGAGCUGAGCAUUGCUUUUAAAGUUGGUCAAAAUUUUAUUAGCAAUUACUAAGUAUAAGUAAAUACCAACCCAAUUAAGUAGCAGAACAAAAGUAACAACCUCACCUGUGAUGCAAUGCAUAUGACAAAUUGAGUUUAAGUUCCAUAAAUUAAUCAUGUGAGUGUCCGAGCUGCUCAUGACCGUGAGCACGGCUAGUAUACCAGUUUUACACUCUACAGAGGUUGCGCAUCUUUACCCAUAAGUCAUGUUACCCAUCUGCCAAGAGACGGCCAAUCCCAUACACCUCUACCGAGGAGGCGAGGCAGGGUAACACUACGAGGCCUUUACAAAGUUCCACUAGCUUCAGAAAACCCGCUACAGUUUAUAGGAAGCUCCAGUGCAGGAGUCCCUCGACUGACCGCCAUCGCAGCAAAAUCAACCAAGGACCCCCCUACACUGACCACUCCCCUACUGCCCUUGCCCCUUUCGGGUAAGGUAGUCAUCCACUAGCUUUCCUAGUUAAUCAGCCAAGGGCGUCCAUAAACCCUUGUGGUAGCACUGUUUUCCCGGGUGGUUCUCCAUGUUCCAAUUAACAUAAUGAUCUUAACAUGAACAAUAAAUAACAACUGAUAAGAAAAGUAUAAUCAUGAAUAGUGUAAUCUUCAUACCCAAAACCACAUAAAGCAAUAGCAGGUACUACCCAAAAAGUUUAGUGGAGUCAAGGUAUAAAGAUAAUCAAACUAGGGUAACCUGUUGGGUCCCAUCAAAAUUAACCUAUGCAGAUCAUUAUGAUUAAUCAAAACAUGACUGGGUAAAAAGAAGUGAUCAAGGGCACAACUUGCCUGGGACUUGAGAUUCCAGGUACCAGGAUGAUCUUCAGAUGACUUGUGACCUCACGCUAGUCGUAGCAAUACAAACAAACAUGGUAUAUGCAACAUUAACAUCACAACAAACAUAAGAAUAAACUGUGUAAUAAUAUUCUACGCUGCGUAACGAGAUCGUGGGUUCAAUAAUCACUGAAAUCUAAGUUAGAGUUGAAGAGAGAUGGUUUUUAGAAGAUCUAUGAAAUUAUCCAGUUAGAUCUAGGUCUUUAUGCUGGUUUUAUGAAUCAUGUGAUAAAGAUAUUUAAAGGAAUAACUUUAAUCUAUAUUACACCAGGGUAGAAUAAUAUUUUAGUUAAAUUAUGAUCAGAGGUAGACUAACCUCACAUAGAAUGAUUAAUCCACUAACAUAGGCUAAAUAAAUAACCUAAUACAAUCGUAUGUGGAACGAUAACCAUAAUUCUUUUAAUGUGUAAACAAUUUUAUUAUGAAGUUAACACAAUUUAAACGGAGUAAAACUGAGUUAAGAUGCAAAAGUUAUGUGUUACAUAAGUUUUAUGGCAUUUUUAAUAUUUGUUUUGCACUUAACAUAGAUUCCAGGGCUAUAAUGUAAAUUUCAGGGACCUUAAUGUAAUUACUUUGCCCAUCCACGCACGCCGCGUUAUUUUCCAUCAAGGACAAGGGCCACUUUGCAAAACCGAUCUCGGAUUCCUACACAAGGACACGUGCCGUCCUGCGACUGGCUGAGAUCGUGCCACACCCCGGUGCACAUGGUGAGGCGCACGGGAUCCGAUCCGCACAGGAUCCCCACCACCACACACAUGUGCAGACAAAAGAGAUCACCCUGGACCAUCAGAUCGACGAUCAAUGGCCCAGAUUCAAAGUGCCGAAGGGAUAUUUGCUUCUUCUAAUCUUGAUCGUCGCUUGCGAAUCCAACGACCCGAGGGCUUUCUUCCCCACUCACCUGGCACUCGACCCUGGCAGCACACAGUACUGGCGCGGCGGCGGCCAUGGCCGGGCCCGCCCACAACUCCUAAGCUCCGAUCUGUAGAGGAACCGCAUGUGAACCAGAGGGGAAGACUUACCCUCGAGUGAAGAUGGCAUGGAGACCCGGCCAUAGCGCAUAGUGGCAUCACGGUGGAGGCAUGAUACCGCGAGCAAUUCCCCAUAAUCCGAUCUUCAGCACGCCCAUGGACUGCCUCGACCACCAUCCAGAGCCCCGUACUUCUUCCUGGAUGUAUCACCAAAGCCAGACUGGCGGCGGUUUAUGGCUUGCCAACGACGACUCCGUGGCCCACCACUGUCUGUGUCACCGCUCGGCGCACACACAGAUCUCCAGGUACGAUGGCCGCGAGCAGCAGACAUGGGCGUGGGAGUAGAAGGGCUAGGGCGCUAGGGUCCCAACGCGGGCGCGCAUGGUGGCCGAGAGCUCCUGGCGGCCGACCGGUGACAGAUUGUUUUGGUGCCUGGCGGGAUGGACACCAUCGCAGGUUCCGCGCCACCAACACCAUCGAUCGCAUGCUAUUUUUUUCGGUUCAACCCCAGCGAAAUCCGUGUGUUUUCGCCGUGGUAUGGCUCUGGGUCGAGGGAAGGUCGCGGCAAGAAAUAUUUAUGGCCGGGGCGGAGGGGCAAUCGGAGGAUCCAAACCACCCACCGAAGUCGCGGUCUCCGUUAGCUUCGGUGUUCGUUUCGACGGGGAAGAAGACCAGUCCGACAAAAGGGCCCACAUGUCAUCAACACAGGAUUUGGGAGGGGUGGCGCAGCCAUUGUCAGGUGGGACCCGGUCGACAGCGACGCAUGGGGCUGGGCUGAGUGGCGCUGUGGAAGUGGGUCGGUCGGUAAGGAUUCAGCCCACGACGUGGGGAGAGGUCCUUCCAUUUUUUUAUUUCUUUUCUUCUGUGAUAUCCUGGCCCCUGGGAUGGUGAUUUCCUGGCCCAAGGCUUAAUAGAAUUAAUAGUGUAAUCAUACCAACAAGGUGCAUCUUCUUUUUCGGAAGCCUAUCUCGAAAGAACCUCCAAGUUAAGCGUGCUUGGCUUGGAGCAAUUUGGGAUGGGUGACCGACCGGGAAGUUUUCUCGGGUGCGCAUGAGUGAGGACAAAGUGCGCGCAAAAGACUCGUGUUGGUCUGUGGGGACAAUAUAUGAUCCUAGAGAGCUGCCAGGAGUAAGUACCGUCGGUCCAGGGAUUGGACGGGGUGUUACAAGUGGUAUCAGAGCCAACCCUCGCGGUUUCACGGGCGUGUGUGGGCUAGGGGGUUCGGGUAUAUGGCGCAUGGCGCAUAUGGGCCUGGAGUGGUCACAUGGCAUGGCAUAUGACGACACUAGACACAUAGACGUGGCUAAGAGGGGAGGUUCCUGGAUUGGGGUUGACCGACGAGGUCGUCGGUCUUCUAAGGGGGGUGGAUUGUGAUAUCCUGGCCCCUGGGAUGGUGAUUUCCUGGCCCAAGGCUUAAUAGAAUUAAUAGUGUAAUCAUACCAACAAGGUGCAUCUUCUUUUUCGGAAGCCUAUCUCGAAAGAACCUCCAAGUUAAGCGUGCUUGGCUUGGAGCAAUUUGGGAUGGGUGACCGACCGGGAAGUUUUCUCGGGUGCGCAUGAGUGAGGACAAAGUGCGCGCAAAAGACUCGUGUUGGUCUGUGGGGACAAUAUAUGAUCCUAGAGAGCUGCCAGGAGUAAGUACCGCCGGUCCAGGGAUUGGACGGGGUGUUACAUCUUCUAUUUUUCUUAUUUCUUUUCCAAUUUCUAAAUUUCAGAUUCAAUUCAAAUUCAAACAGAAGAAUUCAGCAGGAAUGCAGAUCCAUACUUUUAUUUAUUUAUUUUACUAUAUCUAUAAAAAUGAUUUUGAAUUCACCAAUUAUGCUCACAUAAGGUGUAUUAAGACACUAAUUUCUAAUCUUUAUUAUUUAUUUUUUUCCCAUUUACCUCUAUUUCAUUUUCAAGCUUGUUUCACGAACUUGGAUACAAAUGCAAUAAUACAAGAAUGAGAUGAAUAUUUCUGUAUUUAUUUAUUUGUUGUUUGACCCUUAUAAUUCCUAUUAAUUGAUUAUGCACAAAGAAAGAAAACCUAACAAAUCUCCAAAGGUUCCACAAUUCCAAAACACUUUUAUAUCAAUACAUGCAUUUAUUUAUUUUUAUUUUUUUAUUACACCAAUUUUAGGGCUUUACAGCUCGAUGGUUGAUUUUCUGAAGAUGGUAUGACUCGGCCGCCAGGGCCAAUCUUCGGCAUCUUCGUUUCCACUUUCCAAGUCGAAACUUUCACUAUCGCUGGAAUCCUCAGAUAGCCUAGCCAGCAUUUCGUUGCUGAUUUUCUCUGUAUUUGUCUUCUCCAUAGCUUCAUAAAACCCAGCCAGUGCAGGGUCAACAAUCUUUUUCUCUUCAGCCAUUUAGUCAAUGGUUGCACAAAUGCCGAAGCUUACAAUUUAAUCAAAAUUUGGUAGAGCAAGAAAAAUCAGAAUAACGAAAAUAGAGCAAGCAACUGAAAUGGCACAUCAAAUGCUAUCAAUGUGAGUCCCUAUUUAUAUGCCCAACGCCUCACAACUUGGUGGGCUCUACAUGUUAGUGUCUUUUGCUAUUCUAGUGAAGGGAAGGUGUUUUUCGGACCUCUAGCUAAAGGCCUUCGUUCACAUCGCAGUCUGAAUUUGUUACAAAGAAAUAAAUUAAUACUGCGAGGGGCUACUAUUGGGGGCCUUCCUCUUCCGAAGGUCCUAAAAACGUGACUAAUAUGUUUUUCAGUGUAACAUAGACUGCUGCAGGAGGCUUCGGUUUUGGGAUGAAGGUAUGCGUGAUAUGGAGAUACAACCCGAAGGCAGGAUGAACGGACAUCGAAGCUGUGGCUGAAGGAGCUUUGACUUAGUAUAAUGUCGAAGGUGGAAGAUGAAACCGACCUAAAGGGGAAAAGACUACUUAGUCCUUA